CUAGCUGCCUAAGCGGCCUCUCACCUGUGUCGUCCCCGCGCGUCUGGGCGGCCGCGCUGCUGUUGUGGUAAGACUGGAGACUUGAUGCAGACGCCACGAGUCGAAUGGUUUGUCUCCAAAGGGCAGCGCCUCCCUAUUGGUCAGUCGCCCCCUGACGUCACAGGCGCACCGCUUCUACUGGCGUGUGCGCUGCUUGCGGAGUUCUUCGCCUACCUUAAGCAACUACAAUCUCAGCCCAGAGCUGCAACCUGGGUCCGCCCGGAGCUAAAGGCGAGCAGCGGUGGAGGGAGGCGCCCGGGAGGCUGCGGACGCAUCCCGUCGAAGCUCCAAGCCCAGAUCCUGAACCCUUGUUUCCAGGAUUGGAGACUUGGAACAGCCUGACUGGAAGCUGAUCUCUUUCAAUUCAUUUGCACCCUUUCAGGCUGCCUGUGUUCAGAAGCAGUGUACCUAGCUUUAAAGCCAGAACCCCCUCACUUGACCUCCCCCCUGUCCCCAGGACCCCAGCCCUACUCUACUCCCAAGGGAGCGCCUUGUCACUAUGGGUUUUUCUGGAAGUUCUUUAUUGAAACCGUAGAGGGAAGAAGGACCCCACAUCUGGGCUCCAUCUCAUGGGGGGUAGUAAAGAAUGAAAACUCAGACCUUGUUCUGGCGAGAUUCCUGCUGUUUUAGGUCCUAUUUCCUAUAUGCUGACCCCCCCACACACAAGGGAGGAGCACCACCUCCCAGCCCAGAAUGCAGCAGUCUGCUCUGAAAGCGAAUCGUUGGAGGGUUGACAGUAAUGCAUUUUUUUCCUAUUGAAAACAGAAGCUACUGUAAUGCUUUCAAAUAUAUGCAAAUGAUACAUGCGGUUAGUGGUUUGGCAAAUCUUGAUUACAAUAUAAACUACCCAAGUAAAAGUGCCUUCGUCCUAAAUUUGUCUCUCGAUUACAAUUCCAAUUGAUUUUAUUUUAUUGUCAACAUUGUUAAUGAUAAAAAUAGAGUCGUUUUACAGUUAUUUUUACUUUCUGGAAGGAGGCAAUUAGAGUUCUAAUCAGGAAUACACAAAAAUCUCCCAUGAUUAACUGCAGUACUUUGUUCAAAUUGCUGCUAUAAAAUUCAGAACAAUUUGCCUGUAAUGAUUAUGGACUGGGUUUAUUUUGGGAGGUGGAAUAAAAGUGGAUAUAGCAUAAAUUAUCCUCUAAUUAUACACCAGUGUCGCCUCAAUUAUCCUCUUAUCAAAAUGGUUGUCUAACUGCCGCAUUUAGUUUCAAUUCUCUCCUUUUUUUCUAUAAAAAGAACUUCAUACCUUGUUAUUAUUAAUCCAUUUAUUAUUUGCAAGGGGGUUUAUAUCCGCACAUCCAGGUGGUAGAGCCACUUCAGUUUCAAAGAUGGACUGGGGAAAGACAUUAAGUUUGGAGCAGCUCAGGGCUACGGAUCUAGCCUUUCUCCCUCGGGUCUCCAGACUCAGGUUCAAGCUGCGGAGCAGGGACAGCGGAGCCCAGGCGGCCACGUUCAGGCCCAGCCACCAGCUGCUGAGAACCAGAGGGAAGCCUACUCCUUUGGAAGAACAUUUCCCUAGAUUACCUCGCCACUGCUGGGGAUCCCCUUGAACACUGGUCCCUGAACACCAGCUUCCAGAAGACUCCAUGGAUGGCCAUCCAGUCUUAUCCACUGCUGUUUUCCCUCUGCACUUCCUUCUUCGAUUCCUUCACUCUAGCCAGGCUCUCAUCAGGGUCAGAUCAGAGAUGGACCAGCUGGACCACAGAUUGGAGGACUGACCUCUUAGAGUGCCAACAGUCAACAGUGUGCUGUCCGACCCAUAGAAAGAUAAGAAGAAGAAGAAGAAAAUAUGCUGUGUGGAAGGGAGAGGAAUGGUCUGAUAAUUCCUUAGAGGCUGAAAGUGAGGAACAACGAAAUUUAGAGGAAUGUGACAUUUUCCUGCAGGGCUUCUUUUUGGUCCCUACUGAGAUAUAUAAUCUGGGUGUUCCUGCUGGACUGUGAUUCAGAGGAGACUAAGUCUUCUAGUGGUCCUCCUGCUAGUAAGAGACGCCAACCCAUUAGUCUCUGUGUUGCUUCUCUGCACUGUAGAUCUGCACUUUUAACCUGGAAGAUGUUGGCAUUGACUCUUGUAGGAUAAAGGUCAAUGAUAACAGCUGUUCAAACCUCCUCCAACUUUCUGUUUGUAGAUCAGGUGGUGACAUCCUGUACUGAGAUUGUUAGAGCAAUGGAGUCACAGGGUGGAACUGAACUCUUUUAAAAUAUUUGGCUGAAACAUGGCAUUGCUAGUUACGUAGAAGAGAGCAUUAUGAAACAUGAUCAGAAUCAUGAAACAAGGUACUACUGGUCAUAUUUUGCAAUCCAGCAACCCACUAAGGACAAUGUAGACUCUACAGAAACUGGGAGCAGGUAGACAUGGUUCUUUUCCCAUGAAGCUUACACUCCAGAGUCCCUGUAGGGGUGAAAAGCAGUGGCUACAGCACAUGUGUGGCCACUAGUUGGGGAGGAGGAGUUCCUAAUGUUGCAGUCAUGGCCAGUGGCCAAGUAUCUCUAAGCCUACCUUUUAUAAGCAAUCUGUGAACAUGGACUGCUUUUCCCUAGCCAAAGUCCUGGGAUGUCAGGGGAAGUGCUUGAGGUUUGCAGCUUCUGGGGAGGGAAAUACGAAGUGAUUUAGACCAGGGAACAAAAAGGGAUGGGAUUCUGAACCAACUAUUGCUUCUAUUCUGUGUGGAAAUUACAGUAUGAAAUAUGCUGGGCUGGGAAACUUUGACACCUUGGUAUUAGUUCUUCCUUCCUUCCUUCCUUCCUUCCUUCCUUCCUUCCUUCCUUCCUUCCUUCCUUCCUUCCUUCCUCUCCUUCUCCUUCUCCUCCUCCUUCUUUUUUUUUUAUAAUACUAAAAAGCUAUGUGAUUGUAGGCAAGCCAUUUCCCAUUCCCUGUGGAUGUCUCUUGAGUGACUUUAAAACCCCUUCUAGUUCUGAAAGUCUUUUUGUUGCUGUUGUUGUUUAUUUGUUUGUUUUUUUCAAAACAGGGUUUCUUUGUGUAGCUUUGGAGCCUGUCCCGGAACUUGCUCUGUAGAUCAGGCUAGCCUUGAACUCACAGAGCUCCCCCUUCCUUUGCCCCCUGAGUGAGUGCUGGGAUUAAAGGUGUGUGCCAUCACCACCUGACACUCUGAAAGUCUUAACAUCAGGCCCCGGGCUACAGGGGUCAGUUUCAAAAUACCCUGCCUUCAGAUGCUAGAUCAUAUAUAUUCAGCAUCUACAUAAACUUUUUUUUUUAUUUUUGAGGGGAUGUCUGUUUUAUCAACUUUUUAAGUACACAUUGAGUUCCUCUGUGGAGUUAAGAAGACAUUAACUCUAAGUCCUCCUUCAUUGCGGCUUGCUGCCUUUCCUCACGUCCUUUGCUUGUUCACAUCUCUACUGAGCUUACACUACAUGCUGUGCAUCAGAUACAUGUUGGGUUUGGAGAUACAUGCUGAACCUGACACUUCCCAGACUCCCUUCACUUUUCCAGAGAGCCUUUCCUUUACUUCUACCUUCUGGCACUUUCUUUGGCAGGAACCAAUUGUAUCUAGGCAGUGUGCUGUAGCACCCUUGAGGUAACCACAUGCAAACAGGGACCACCUAAGCAAUUUUAUCAAACACUAAGAUAGACAUUUAAGUAACCAUUCAGACCCAGGAUUACCACAAAAAGAACUUUCUCCAGGUAUAAGGAAGAGGGACAUUUUCCUUCCGGGAUGUGUGCAGAAGAACCACCCUCCAGCCUGUGGAGAACACCAAACACUCUACUCUCUGCAACCUGUCCUUGCCCAAGCAGAAAGAAUCUAAACCCCAAAAUACUUCUCAAUAAAUAGACAUACUUUCUAUGCACUGUUUUUCUCUGUAUCAUCCCCAUGGCUUGCCACUUCUUAAAAAAGGAAUGGAAAAACACUAAUGAGACAAAAAUGUUGCUGUGAGCUCUGACCUCAUUGGGAAUCCUUUUAGCAAUUUCUCAUUUCUAUUUCAUUAUCAACAAAUCUACUGAAUACUUAUCUUCAAGUCCAAGAUACACAAAACAGUGGAAUUUCAGGUUCAGAGCUGUUGACAUAUACUAUUUGUUUUGAGUCUUUUUGUCAUAGGGAAUGACUUCAGACAUUUCAGUUUAAUGACAUAAGUGGGGGAAUGAAUGGCUCUUGACUUUCACUUUCUUUUUCAGUUCAGGUCAAGGAAUAGGUACCUCCAGGCAAUGUCUACACUUCUCUAUGAUCAAGGGCUCUUACUGUUUCUAGGUAUAUAUCACUACCAAGGAAUAUUCAUCUCCUCUUCUUGUCUUUAUUUCCUACUUGGCAAAAAUAUUAAAGACAGUAUAAAGUUCAUAAGAUAAACUCUUCCGAUAAGAAGUUAGAGAAACAAAAGGCCAAGAUUAUUGUAUUUGAAAAACAGUGGAAAGGAGUUACUCCAUACAACAAGGCCCAUGUAGGAAGUUUAUUGAAGGAAGGGGAGAGAAGGGGCAGAAAAAGGGGCAGAGACCGGUCCCUGGGGCUGAGAGCGAAGGAAGAGAAAGAGAGAGAGAUGGGAGGUGUACAAGGCCCACCUUUUAUAAGGAAACAUAGCAGACGUGCACAGGGUUGCUUUUAGUGACUGCAGCUGAGGUAUAUCCCGUCAGGACCCUAAGGGCAGGCCAGUGCAGAUGCCUAAAUGCUAACAAAGAUAAGCAAAAUAAAUGGAAAAAAAAAAAAACCUUAAAUGUUUAGCAAGCAUUCAACUAUAAUUCUUUGGAAUCCAUGUCUAGUGUAUCCUUUCUGUGUUUUUUUUUUUGUCUUUGAUUUUCUUUCUUUUUUAGUUUGUUUGUAUGUUUUGAUUUUUGUUGUUUCUGUUGUCGCUUUUCACUUCUUUUGAAAGAGAGAUAGCAGGAAGUUGGUUGGGUAGGGAGGUAGGGGGGAUCUGUGUGGAGUUGGAAAGUACGUGAUAAAAAUAUAUUGUCUGAAAAAAAAAAGAACUUUAAGUUUUGUGCUUUGAGACAGAGUCACAGGUAACCCAAAUGGACCUUGUGGCUGAGGUUGGCUUCAAACUUCUGAUUCUUCUGCCUCCAUAUGGGUAGACCGCUGGGAUUACAGUCAUGUAACCAUGCCCAGUUCGUUUUCAAAUAUUUAGUGCAGCAUUCCUCCCUUUCUGCAGAAGUGGAAUCAGUAAAUCCAUAUAAUUCUAAACAUUCUAAUGAGGAGAACAGUCUGUUGAGCAUUUUCACACUCCCAAGAAUCUGAAUAUUAGCUCUGUGAAGACAAAAUAUAGAGAUGAUAGACUGCUCUUCCUGCUUCUCAUUUGAAUGGUCUAGUGUGUUGUAGUUCCAGCCAUUGACCUUAAAGCAACCUAUAUAUGUUUUCUUUAUUCCUAAAGAGAAAGGAAAAAUCUGAUUUUUUCCAAGCAAUUAAAACUCUUCUGCUUCAGGUAGGGUGGAAAGAAUGAGGAGCUAUGUCUCCCUGUAUAUAAUUGCAAGGUUCAUCUUUCUUGUUUUAAUGAUUGACAGAAAACUGAUAAACUGAGACAUUUCCUUGUUAAGGGUGAAUGUACUCUCUUGGUGGUCCCAUUGCUAAUUUGUUUGACUAUUUUGUACGAUUUCUUACUCUGUAAUGGAAAGGUUUAUUAAAUACGAGGGUGGCAAAGCUUUCUGAAUACUAAUGAACUUAUUUGCCAAAAUUUAAAUGUUCUUCUUGCUAGUGAAUGUCUGUCUCACUUAACAGGAACCAAAUUGAAUAAUGAAGAAAAUUAGACUCUAGUGAACCUCAAGAGAAAUCGUGUGUGAAUUGUAAUAGAAAACUGAGGGAGAAAAGGGUCAUAUUUUAGAAAAAACACUAGAUAAUUUAGAUUAUUUUUAAAAAAGGAUGAACUUAGGGAAGCUCAGGUUCUUUUCAAAGAAACACACAUUCAGACAAUUAAUUCAAAAUGCUGGUUUUCCCUUCACCCAAGCAGUCUAUACCUAUUGCCAGUCUACAGUAAAAGAAGGGCAGAUUAGGUGGGAAAUGCACGCCAGGUUUCUGUGCUUACAAUUCACUAAACUUCUUCUCAUGUGAGGAUCUUAUAUACCUGUGAUGGAAAGGGAAAAUCAAUAACCUUGAAAAAUGAGCACUAUUCUUCAGAGAAGUUCAAUAAAAAGAUAGAAUUUGGGGAAUUGCUGCAAUUCUUCCUACAAGCAUAAGAUAAUGAGUGUGCCCUCACACUGAUGUGUUUAAUUCCACCAUCUUGGUGUUAUGGCUAAUGAAGUACAUGAUCAUGAUGCCUUUCCUCUGCUAGCAUCCAGGGGCAUUGUGGGAACAACAUGGUUGCCCUCCUGACCAGGAGACAGGGCGGGGGAAAUUCGGCAACCAUACCAACUGCAAAGCAUGGUCAGCAUAAAACACAGGGUGUAUAUGGAGUAAAAUCAAGCAGCUAAGGAGAAGAGAUGAGAAUGGGAAGGUGACAAGGAGCAAAGAUGGGAAAUGGACCUUUUGUCCCUGACACAAAUCUGAGAAAGGGACAUGUUCGCUGAAAAAGCAGGAGGGAGUGAGGGUCUUGAGGCUGAGAAAAUAAUCAAAAUGAAAAUAAUGAAUGUCUCUAGUUUUCAAAGGAGUUCUUCCUGAGGUUUUUAAAAAUUAAAGGUAAAUACAGAGGAAGGUCAAGGCCCUUGGAGCCUGUGGAGUUUUUAAAAUAAAAUAAAACAUAAAAAAAAUGGAAAGGUAAAUAAUGGACAAGAAAAGAAACCCAGAGUAAAGAGAGAUUCAAAGUUAGGGUUGAUUUUCAACCCAGAAGGUGUCUUUUGGACAUCAUGCUGGACUUCAUCUCUGAAGGAGAAAAAAAAAUGGUUAAUCUAUCUCAGAGUAAUACUAUUUUAUACUAUUUGAUCUGAGGAUGAAUUUUCUUUAUUGUCCCUGAUGAGAUUUAAAAACAAAAACCAAACAGCAACAACAACAACAAACUAGACCCUAAUUGCUUCCGUGGUGGGGGGCGCUUUCCAGUUACAAAUCUCAAUUUCCCCCCUUAUAAUGAUAAUUGGGUUUCAACAAGAGGGUAAACAAACAGGGAGACAGAGACGUAUCUCUACCAUGUCAACUCCUGGCCUGCUCUGAUGGAAAUAAAGGAUUUAGUGAGUAGAGAUGGAGGCAGAGGAACAAGACAAUGGAACAGAGGAAAAGGCUGCAUACCCAGUAUGAUGGCCCAAUUUGUGGGAAAUCAAAUGAACAAUUGGGUUUGAAGGACGUGUGCAAUAAGGAGGCUGGGAUAAUAAGACGUAUUUAGAAAGGGGAGAUUACUUGGGAAAGCGAGGGUGAAUGACGAAUUAUGUGGAGAUGAUUAAGGACUGAGGAAGGCAGAGGAGCGAGGACAUAAUUGGAAUGGGAAACAAAAUGUGACCAAGAGGCUGUAAAAGGCAAGUUCCAAUUCUGCAUGGCGACUCACCGACCUCUAGGGAAGGCGCACAAGCUGGAGAGAGAGGUGGAAAAGACCCACACUGUUCAUGGUUAACACAUAAAGUCAGGACAAUAGGAGAAGCAGUAAAUGUCACUCUUCUUUCGGAAUGAAAGCACAUCCAGAGGAGUGCAUUAGUCUGUGUUCGCCAUUCAUUUAUGAGGAGAAUAGUCUUCGUCUCCCUUUGUAAAAGGUUGAUUUAUAAAAUGAUUGCUAUUAACGGAAAGAAAAGGUAAGCAUUAUCCGGGAAGUUAAGAAAAGGUUGAGACUAGAGUAACUGAAGUGGGGAAUAUGUGAACAAGCCUCUUCAUGGCCCUUAAUAUAAGAUUUCCAAAUUUAACAUUCCAUAGAAGAACUAGAGGCCAAUUAUCCAAAUACAAGCAUAGGUAGUGAGGAGGGAGGAAGUUUAAGUUGUCGUAAAUACUUUAUAAUAUGUUUUCUGCAACAUUUCACCCUCCAUAAAAAUGGUUGUCAUAAGUUAAAGAGCUUCUGGGUGUUAUUUGAAACACUUACAUGAGAGGAUUUAUAGCAAUGUAAAGUAGUAGACACAAUGUUAAUUGAAAAAAAAAGUUCAUGUUGGGAGUUGCUCUAAGUGCCUGUGAUUUCCCUUUUACUUUCCCCUGUUUGUGCUUAGGAUUUCUUGCAAGCAGACAGCACAGACCCCCUUCGGAGGGAAGCUGAUAAAGUAAUUUAGCUGGAAAGGCUUAAUGAGAUAAUGAUGCUAAGGCCAGUUAACAACUAAUAAGCAUCUAACCACGAGGGAUGAUAUUGUUGCUUAUUAAUUAUAAUGAUGAUGUGGAGGAGAGAGACAAGGUGGCACUCGCUUAGCAGAGAGUACUCAGGAGUAUGACUGACUCCCAGAGGCAAAGCUGCCAUCAGAGGGCUUUAGAAUUAGGUCAACACUUAGCCGAGUUUGAAAAUUUGUGUCUGCUGGGUUAUAUGGCCACCACAGAGCUAGAGGCCAUGCAAAAAAUAAUGGUAGGCAGAGCUGAAGUAGAGUCCUGUGUGACUUCCAGGAUAUAUGCAGAGGCAGACUCCAGGUCAAGGUUUGGGGAAGUCUUCUUGAUGAUAAUUCCCACAGUAGUCACUCCUGGGUAGACAGGCAGGUGUCCAGAAUGAACUGGGUAGGCUUCCAGGUGGAUGACCUUCCCCUUCACCAAUGAGUCUGGUGAGUCAGACAUGGAGCGUAGCUAUUCAAUUGGUUUUUCUGUUGUUGUCCUUGUUCUGUUUUUCGAGAAAGGGUUUCUUUGUGUAACAGUCCUGGCUGUCCUGGAACUCCCUUUGUAGAUCAGGUUGGCCUCACAGAGAUCUGCCUGCCCCUUCCUCCGGAGUGCUGGGAUUAAAGGCAUAGACCACCACCACCCGGCUGUUUUUUGUUUGUUUGUUUUUAGCUUGCUUUAGAGAAGGAGCCCAGAAGAUUUUCCUUCCUUCCUUCCUUUCUUUCUUUCUUUCUUUCUUUCUUUCUUUCUUUCUUUCUUUCUUUCUUUCUUUCUUUCUUUCUUUCUUUCUUUCUUUCUGUUUUUCUUCCCCCGCACCCCCGAGGUACAUUAUCUGCUGACUUGACUUUAGAGGUAUGGGGUGUUAGGCAGUCACCUGACUCUGUUUCCUGUAUGCCCAGGCUGGGGGAACUGUAGCAUCAACACAGUGGAGACGUACUCAUCUGUAGAGGGUAGAAGUAGAGAAGGCAGGUUGUGGUAGUGGAGGAUAAGCCGUUAUGGGAAAUGCAUCAGGCUUUUAGGAAUCUUAGGACUCCUCCAGGGAGGUCUAGGAUCAGGCGACACAGGUCCAGCUUGGGAAAGCUGAUUGGGGGGCCUGGUAGGGUAUAUGAAACUCAUCUCCUUAUCCCCAGUCUCCCCCAACAACUCUGGAUGGGUCCUGAAGCCUCAGCUGUUGCCUACUUUUUGCUGGGUCUUUUGAUCCACCUCUGCAGUGACAAAGGUGAUUUUCCAUGCUUUCUGGUGCUGUCAUUGGUGAAAUGAGGGCCAUGCCACAGGAUUUGACUUAGGCUAUGUGAUAAUGCACAUUGAGUACAGUUAUAUUGUAAUAGUAGAGAAUGGUAUUCUCACCACCAGCUUAAGGGACAUCAUUUUCAUUUUUUAUUGAACAUGAGGCUUGAAAGUGGCAAGAGGUGAGAAACAGUGGGGCUGGAAAAGAGGGAACAUCUCUAAUUCUGACCUUCCUACCAGUUCUGGGACCUGGAGCAAGUCCCUUGAUCUUCUGAACCUUGCUUCCCUCAUUUAUAAAAAGAAGGGCUAUUGAGGAGGAUCUUAAUAGCUAUAAAGCUAUAUCCAACUUUAUAAUUCUAUUUUUAUAUACUUUAUAUUUGCAAUCCCAUGAAACCAUUUAUGAGAGAAGCAAUUGACCAUCUCUAUUGCCUUAAGUUUGUGGUUCAGAGUAGAAGCUUAAGUUCCACUCACAAAUUGAUCAAAGGCAUAACUUCUUAGUAAGAAGCACCUAUGUGGCAGACCCAUGCCAACCUUAACUUAAGUGCUUCUCAGGUGACAAAGUCCAUGUAAAGAUUAAACAAGUCCUUUGAUAUUAUAUAGUCAAUAAGAAAUAUAGCCAACAUUUAACCCCAGGUCUCCUUGACAUGAAAGCCAUGUUUACCUCUCAUAGUUUAAAACACAUGCUUCAAUCAUUGAACAUAGAGAAAUUGAGCUGGUGCCUAAAUAAAGCCUUCAUCCCUAUGUGCUUCUGUCUUUGGUACAGGAAGGUGCUCUACAUGGUACCAAAGAGAAAUGUAAACACCAACCCGGCCACAAACCCUUUGAUCUACGAUGCUGUUAUGUCUGCAAGAUAUGCUGGGGCAAUGGUGGCACAAAGCCUGUUGGAGUAACCAAUCAAUAUCUGAUUUGAUUUAAGGACAACUCCGUGAAAUAUCCAGACCCAACACUUCUUGGGUGACCAAAAACCUGAGACUCAAUAGCUCAGGGACUUAGGAUAAAACCAAGUACUACUGUUCUAAAAAAAAAAAAAGCAAUAAAAUGACUCCUAAUGACAUUCUGCUAUACUCAUAGAAUGGGCUCUUGCUCAGCCAUCAUCAGAGAACCUUCUUCCUGCAGCAGAUGGGAAUAUAAAGACCCAUAGCCAGAUGUUAUGUAAAGAGUGAGAGACAUUGAAAUAGCUUUAAAUGGGAUGUCUCCAUCAAAUCCCUUCCCCCAGGGCUCAGGGAACACUACGGAAAAGGAGGCAGAAAGAAUAUAAGAGCUAGAGGGAUGGAGGACACCAAGAAAACAAGGUCCUCUAAAUCAACAUGAGCAAAGCUCAUGUGAACUCACAAAAACUGCAGUAGCAUGCUCAGGACCUGGACAGGUCUGUACUAGGUCCUCUGCAUAUAUAUUAUGGCUUCCAGUUUAGUGUUUUUAUGUUUUUUUGGGAUUCCUGAGUGGAUCUCUGAUUCUUAUGCUUUUUGGGACUCUUUUCCUUCUGUUUGUUUAUUUUGUCCAAUUCCAAUUUGUUAGUUUUUGUUUUAUCUUAUUACAUUAUAAUUUAUUGUUAUCUCUUAGAAGCCUGUUUUCUGAUGAAAGACAGAAAGGGGGUGGAUCUAGAUAUGAAGAGAGGUGGGGAGGAAAUGGGAGGAGCAGAGGGAGGGGAAACUGUAAUUAUGAUAUAUUAUCUGAGGAAAAAAACGAUUUCCAAAAAAAAGACAAACAAAGGGAAGAAAAGCAAAAAUACAAAUGAAACAAAAACCACAGGACUUAUUUCCCAUAACUUAUGGAACAAGCCACUGAAAGCUUUGGCUCUCUUAAAGGUUCUCUACUAGUUAGUGAGGUAGGUAGGCACAAGGCAUGGAGUGAGCAAAGGCUGCUGAUUCUCACAUAAACAUCUCUUUGAUUCCAAUAUCCCUGCAUCCUUCACUUGACCAGUGAUAGUAACAUGAUUGCAUAAAAAGCACCAUGCUUGAAACCCAUCUGCCAUGUACAUGCACAUGCCUGUUUCUUCCAGCAUGUUGAAGGAGAGACACUUAAUCCAAGCAAAGAGUAGCAGAUGACUGAACUUCGCUCAUCUACCCAGUGGUCACAGAACGGGCAUCCCUCCACACCCCAAGCCUCUACUCAGUUGGGUAGAGAAAUUCUAGCACUUAGGAGGCUUUAAUAGGAGAACCUCAUGUUGAAGCCCUGACUGGGCUACAUAGAGAGACUUUAUCUUAAACAAAACAACAACAACAACAACAACACCCCCCUCCUGAAAAGAGAUUCCUGACUCUAAAAAACCUGUUUUGUCAAUUUAGUUAAUAAUUCAUUUUAAAAGGAACUAUAUAUUUUCAUUUUUUAUGACAAAUAAAUUUCAAUAAUUCUAAUUUGAUUGCAAUCUGUAUAAUAUACCCCUCUAAAAAUAUCAUCACAAUAGCCGUUGUCACACAGGGGCGUGUUAGCCUGGCCUCUUAGCCAGGCAUGCUUGGUAACCAAAGGGACCAUCUAGACCAGGGUUUCCUAAACUGUUUUCAUUCAUGGUCCCUUUCCCUUGAAAAAUUUUUAUAUGACUCCAGGUAUGUAAAGUAGUUCUAUAAAUCAAACAUUUACUCCUAAAAAAUCAUUCAGAAAUAUGUUUUAAAUUAUUCAUAUAUAUAUAUAUAUAUAUAUAUAUAUAUAUAUAUAUAUAUAUAUAUGUUUCUCGAGACAGGGGUUUUCUUUAGAGUAGCUUUGUAGUCUGUGCUGCAACUUGCUCUGUAGACCAGGCUGGCCUUGACCUCACAGGCCUCUGCCUCCCGAGUGCUGGGAUUAAAGGCAUGUGCCACCAUCAUUUGACAAUUUUACUAUAUAUUAAAGAUAAAAAACAAAAACAAAAGAACUGUGUACUAAAGAGAUGCAGGUGCUUGCUCAUUGUGACAGAAGGUAGACUACUUCUUGGUAGACUAUUUGAUAUUGGCAGGACACAGAACAUCUUCAACGUUCUCCAGAGCUGACUAUUAUUUUGAUUUUAUAACCAUCAAUACUGAGAAUACUACUUCGUAUAAAAAUUUGCAAAAUGACAGAAGAGUGAAAAAUGGCAGAAGUACAGUUAGGGUCAUUUCAGAGAUUGUUGGCAAUUCUGUCUAAAUCCAUUCAAUAAAUUAAAGAACAAAACCAAGUCAGUAAAUAACAAAAUUAAAAAUCAAACAUUUGAAUCCAAUCCAAUCCAAAAAUAUACCAGUUUGAUACCCACACAUCAGAAAUAAUGACAAGUAAACAGUAAAAGUCUCUAUUCUCUAUAAUUAAACCACUGUGUCUCUAAGCUGGCAGAAAGCACUAUAGAGAUAAUAGUAACAUUGUGAUCCACGGAAUAGAGCAUUCUCAGGUCAGCAUUUACUGCUGUUGCAUACAUGUGAAGUGUUAAAUGUGCAUGUUCUGUGCCCUCAGGAAAAGGACACAAUGAAUUUGUGGGAUGCCACACAGGUGAGCAUGGCCAGAAACACCUCGGAUUUGUUUUUCAUUUGAAUUAAAUUAACUAUUGGUUACUGCACACUCAGAAACCCUUCACUGCUAUAUUCUUCACAACCCCCACAUUCAGUUAUGUGACCCUCAUGUGGAUAUGAAUCUCCACGUAAGUUUAGAAGCUGAGUUUUAACUAUUUAUCGACUGGUUUAAGAAAGAUGUUGUGCCAGGUGGCGGUGGCUCACGUCUUUAAUCCCAGCAUUCGGGAGGCAGAGCCAGGUGGAUCUUUGUGAGUUCGAGUCCAGCCUGGUCUACAGAGCGAGAUCCAGGACAGGCACCAAAACUACAUGGAGAAACCCUGUCUCGAAAAACAAGAACAAAAAAAAAAAAAGAAAAGAAAAGGAGAGGGAGAAAGAUGUUGCAUCAAGGUUAAUUUAGAGGUGUAGGGCAUCAAAACAGAGGUGCUCCUCCUUCAUGAAUCUUGCUUGAAAGUAAUAAAGCCAGUUCUUUCUUGAUAAGAACAUUGGCACUUAGGAUUUUAAAUUGUCUUUCAAAUAGUUACUUCAACAUCUCCUAGACAAAGCUUUAGCCUCAGACUUUUUAUAUAUAUAUAUUGGUUUGCACUGCUCAAUGGAACCUAGGGCCUUGUGCAUGCUAUGCAAGGACUCUAUUACUCUACCUCAGCUCUACACUUAGCCUCAACACACAAUUCUUUACAUGCUCUCUCUCUCUUUUUGUUUUUGUUUUUGAUUUUUUGGUUUUUUGAGACAGGGUAUCUCUCUGUAGCUUUGCGCCAUUCCUGGAUCUCGCUCUGUAGACCAGGCUGGCCUAGAACUCACAAAGUGCUGGGAUUAAAGGCAUGCAUCGCCACCACCCGGUUUUGCUCUCAACUGCUUUUUUUUUUUGGCCUUCUAUAGCUUUAAUUUUUCUCUCCUUUUUUUGGUGUUGUUGCUGAGUACAUGCUACUUUUUAUUUAAUGUGGUUGUGUUUAGCUAAGUGUGAAAAAUUAGAAAUGCCCAAGUAUGGAAUUCGAUAAAAUAAAGAUACAAUAGAACACUAUGUUGUCAUUUAAGGGAAUGGGGUAGUUCUCUAUAUAUCACUUUCAAGAUAUAUAACUGGACUUGAAUAGGCAAAGUACAGAAAAAUAUGUGUGGUGUGCUACUGUUUGUAUAUGCACAUACAUAUGUAUGUUCAAUAUGUUUCUAUGCAUUGUGUGACUGUGGAAAGACAUUUAAGGAAGUGCUAAUAGUGGUUUUCUCUAGGGAGAAAUUGGCUGGAAGACUGGAAGACUAUCCUGUUGUCCUAUAUAUAGUGUAUCAUAUUCGUGUAUUAUCUAUUCACAUUUUUAUAAGGCAGAAGGCAGAGCUAGUUUUAUAGAGAUGGAAAAGUACAAAAGACAUAUUGUUAUGUAUAAAGAACAAAUUACAGAAUAGUAUAAAUAGUAUAUGAUCUGGCUUUUGUGAAGUAAUCAUAAGUAUAUAGAUAUGUAUACGUAUGGUGUACACAUACAUAUAAAGAAUGCAUACCAAAGUGUUAAUAGGGGUACACUCAGGGGAGAAAGAAAAUGUGUGUUCAUUUUUUUUAUCCUAUGCACUAUUUUUUUUUUUUUUUUUUUGGUUUUUCGAGACAGGGUUUCUCUGUGUAGCUUUGCGCUUCUCCUGGAACUCACUUGGUAGCCCAGGCUGGCCUCGAACUCACAGAGAUCCGCCUGGCUCUGCCUCUCGAGUGCUGGGAUUAAAGGCGUGCGCCACCACCGCCCGGCCCCUAUGCACUAUUUUAUCUGACUGUUUUCAUACCAAGCACACCACACAUCAAUAUAUUAGAAAUAAUUCUUAAAACAUUAAUCAAACUGUACAUUAAACAAGGCUUGCCAGACCAGUUUUUUGGUUCAGCUGCUCAUGUUGUAUCUCACGGACCCAGCUCCAGUCUCUUUCUCAAUCUCCUCUUUGAGGCUUCCUGAAUCUCCCAUUCCUUUGCUCACUCUUUCCUCUGUUUCCCAGCAUCAACAGGGCUAAGAUAAGGUUGUCACUAAGAAAUCAUACUAACACUACUGUGUGUUGUCUGUCAACCACUUUCUUCUUAGGUCAAAUAAACUAAUUUUUUGGAGACAGGCUGGCCUUGAGCUCGAUAUGUAGCUGAGGAUGACCUUGAACUCCUGAUCCUCCUGCUUCCACACCCCAGGUGCUGGGAUUUUAGGUGUGACAUAAGCAGGGCUUCACACUCCCUAGGUGAGCACUCUCCCAACUGAGGUACGUCCCCAGCCACCCCCAUUUUCUUUGUAAUUAAUCCAGAAUGAUGUGGCCCAAACCUCCUUGUACUCACUUUAGAGACUUCGCUUUGGUUAACUGAAACUCCCCGUCCCCAUCUCUUUAAGAAAGUACCCAUGUUUUCUGGAUCAUUUGUAUUAUCACGUAAGUACAGUAUGUCUCCAGUCUCAAAGAACAAAACCCAAGAAACCCUGUUUGCCUCCACACUUUUUUCUCCAUUUCUCCACACUUCUUUGUGGCAAUUCUUAAAAAACAUUUCCCUUACUUCAUAAAGCCAUCGUGUCCUCAUUCAUUCUCAACCUCACUUCUCUCAGAAUUUCAGCUGUGACCAAAUGUUCUCCCUAAUUCCUCUUUCCAAGGCCAUGGUAUUUACUUGCAAAAUCAAUGAUUCUCAUCUUCUCAAUUCAUUAAUCAAAUGCCUCUUUGACUUUCAAUUUUUUUCAUUUUUCUUUAUUAAGAAAUUUUCUACUCACUCCACAUACCAUCUACAGAUUCCCCCCUCCUCCCUCCUCCCACCCCCUUGACUUUCAAUUUUCCUGUUACUCCUCUGCUGUCCUGUCUCUUGGAUCUUUCCCUACAUUACAAUAUCUCCUUCUUUAUUCUCUUCACCCUGGAGUGUUGGCUUGCUCAUGACUUAGUUCUUGGAGACAUCUAUCUUCUUUCUUUAAACUCGUUUGUUAGUCGUAUUAUGUAGCCCUUAACUUUGAAUAACAUCACCGUGCUGAAAUCUGAUCAAACUCCUGUUUGUACCUAGGCUUACAGAUUCAUUGUCUUUUUGACACUGACAGUACUAUUUAACUUUGUAAUAGUCAUCUCAAACCCAACGAAUCCAGAAUAGACAGAACCACCGUCUCUUCUGAUCCUCUUCAUGUCGAUAAACGAUAACUCCAUUGGCGCUCUCCUGUCUAAAUCCUGAAUCUGAUUACUUUCUUUAGCUCUCUCUCUGAAACCCUAGUCCAGCAUCAGCACCAGUCACCUGACUUAGAACAAUAUAGACUUUUAUCUAACUUAUCUAAAAAUCUGUGUGUGUUUUAAAUAUAUAAAUUACAGUGUAUCAUUGCUUUGCACAACAUUCUCAAAUGGCUUCUGUCGUACUCAGCAUAAAAAUCUAAAGUCCUUUCCAUGAACUUUAAGGCUUGCGAUGCCUCUUAGACUCACCUUUUAUCUCUGAACUCACUCCAUCCUUUCCCCUUCACUGUUUUCAUGUCACAGUGACCCGGAUGCCUUUGGAACAUGCUCUCCUCAGAACUCUUGUACUUACAUUAUCUGUUGGGAAAACUCUUCUUGGCCUGCUCCUUUCCUUUAUCCUGCCCAUGGGUCACCUCAUCAGAAAAUCUUCCUUGAGCGAAGAGUCUGGAGCCCGAGGCUGUCUCAGUUGACCCUCUACACUGCUUUGUUUUCAGCACCACCUGAUAGGCUGCCUACGGAUUUGACUAAUAUUUGCUUAUGAUUUACCUGCCCUGGAAUACACAAAACAGCUAUUUUGUCUCAUUUAAUACAUCUCUAACAUCCAGAAGAAAAAGGAUGUUAUAGAGUAGCUUACAAGAAGUUUCUGAGUUUUCAAAAGAGAUGGCAAGAAGUUCUCUUUAGCACAGUCUCAUUAUAUGGAAUUCUUAAGACAGUUUAAUUCUCCAUUAAAACUGUCUCCUGUCUUUAAGUUAAAAACAAAACAACAACAAAAAAACCUGUUUCAACCUUUUCUUUAGAAACUAUGAUAGACUUACAACUAUUGCAAAAGUAGUACAAAUAACUCCAUGUAUUCUUCAUCCAUUGUUUCUCAAGUUGUCUUCUCUAACUGUCCUUUUGAUUUUCUGAACCCUAGUUUCUUCAAUCUCUUAUGAUUUUUUUUUACACAGAUUUCCAGGAUCUUCCUACUGCUUCUUGAAAACCUAGGAAUUCACUCACACUAGCAAGCUCUGUGCCAUGAAGCUACCUCCUGACCCAAUUCCAAUUCUUAUUUUGUUGUUGGUGGGUUUUCUUCUACACCAGAUUCAAAUUCCUAUGCCAAGGUGAUGUAUUAUGUAAGGAAGGGAAAGGAUAUUUUAAUUAAAUGGGAAAAUACGUUUAACCCAAUUUUUUAAUACUAAAAAAAGAAAAGAAGAGGAAGACUUCCAUCUUUGAAGUGCACUGUCCUACAGAGAGGUACACGCUCCUGUAGAUUUUGCAUACCAGCUUGCUUGCUGUGAUUCUAGAGACUGGCAAUUUUUAGGCUUUCCUGUGAUUUAUCUCUUAUAGGAAGAGUUGAAUACAAAUAAAUCUAUGUUUUUAAAUGUAUGUUUGCAUUUUUAGUCACUUAUUUUGUUGAGUUCUUGCCAUUCACUUAUUCAUCAAACAUUUUGUGUUUCAACUGUGUAAUAUCGCCUCUUAUCCCCAAGUGGAUCUGGAAUGAACAUCACCUUUAAAUCAUUACAAGUACCGAAAGAUUGAAAAACUCCCAUUGUCCAGGUAAGUCAAGUACACUUUAUUAAAUGGGCAUUCCUGUUCUGAUGAUAAUCCUUGAAUAACUGGUUUCCAGUAUUAAAAAAUGAGCAAGGGCCAGUGCCCUUUACAGCAUGCCUGCCAUAUAAAUGAGAUAAGCCCCUUGAAAAGAUAAGGCUGGGCCAGUGAGAUGGCUCGGCAGGACCUUGAUGAAGAUCUGCCAUUCACUUGGAACUCUUCUUCCUCAUCUAUGCCCAUAAUGAGAUGGUUUGGUCUUUUCAUGGCAUCCCACAUCUCCUGGUUGCUCCGUUCUUCUACUUUAAGAAUUGUUUUCAUAUUCCUUGCUCAUUUUGUCUAAAUCCUCUACUUUGCCCUCCUGUCCAGAUAGUCUAUCUUCUGCUUGAUUCAUCUACUUGUAAGUUGAGUUUUCUAGUUGGUUAUUGGGUUUUUCAAUUCCAUCUUGAUUUCAGCUUCAGUCCUUUUUCAGUGUUUUCUUUGUUGAAUUCUGUUCUCAAGUCCUGGAUUGUCUCUGUCAUUUAUGUUUGUGUUUUCUUUGGGCCUCACACAGGCACUUACUCUCUUUACCUUCUUUCUCUUUAAGUUCAUUCAGCUGUUUCUUUGUGUCUUCCUUAAACUCCUUGAGUUCUUUGAUGACGUCUAUGAUUAUUGUUCUUUUAAAUUCUGCGUCUUGGGGUUCAUCUAGGUAAUUAUCAUUGGCAAACAUUUUUAAAGGACUGGGAGCUUUUGUAGAGGAGACACUGGCUUGAUCUUUCCUGUUGUCUGUGGGUUUGGGCUAAGAUCUGGGCAUGUGGGCUUCUUUUGUUAUUUCAGUGUCUAACACAGAAAGAGCAGGUUGGGGUAGAAGAGAGCUCGUAGGCAGGUGGGGCCUAGAGGUUGGAAAUGACUUAGGCAGAAUGAAGUCAGGUGGACACAGGGGACAGGGUUGAUAUGCAGAAUACACAUCCUGACUCGACACUGGAAUGUGGAGGUAGAUCUGGGAGUUGGGGAGGGCACAUGGAGAGGUGGAUCAGGCAGAUUCACCAGGCUAGACCCUGGAGAAGGACAUGUAGGAUCUGGCUGGGUGCAGAGGUUGGUUGUUGAGAUGGCUCAGUGGGUUAAGAGCUAAAGGCACUUGCUGCCAAGCCCGAAAACCUGGGUUCAAUACCCCAGAGCUCACAUGGCAGAGGGGGAGAAUUGACUUCAGAGUUUUCCUCUUCUCUGCACAUGUGCCAUAGCAUGUGUAUGCCCAAACUCAUAACUCCCGCCCCAUGCACAAAGACACUCACAAUAAAUGAAUGUUCAAAAAGGUUUUUUUUGUUGUUUUUUUUUUUAAAGGCAAGACUUACUGAUUUAAUAAUCAGUUAAAAGAAGACAUGGCUGGGACAUCACUAACCACUCAGUUAAAAUGAGUAUGUAGUAAGUUCCCCUCAUGAAAGCCCAUUCGCACACGGUAAACAUUACUUAGACAACUGCCUGCCAGCAUUCUCCCAGUCUCACCUCCAGUAUUAACAGGGUGAACAUUUGUCAUUUGUCUAAACUGUUCCUACCUGUUGUUCCAGCAUAAUUGUUAAUUGCAGCUCCCUUCCCUCUCUCCAGAAUCUUGGCUCGGACGAUAAAUUAUAUGGUCAAUUCAAGUAUUAGGGUCUCUGUGAUGAAUGAUCAAGGCACCAUUCCUAUUUAUUGGCAUUACCUUGUCACAAGCUGUGAAAACACUUUCCUUUGUGAUUGUUUCUUCCUGACUUGUCACAAAGACCUUCACAUAAAAUCACUCUCUCCCAUUAAAGUAAUUACUGGGACCCUUUCAGUAAUGACCACUUGUUUUACCUUUCCUCUUGAGACUGAACACCAAAUGCAGAGAUUGCUUUUGCUGGGUCAAGAUCAAAAUUCUUCAGAGACACUAGCCUUGUACAGGGGAAAUACUGUCUCUCUGAUCCACAAAAGUCUGAAAGAGACAUUUCUCCAUAGAAACAUUAUCUUGUAGAAAAGGGCUGAGGUUUCCUGCUGACUCUCUUCUCUGAGGUUCCCCCCAUUCUGAGAUUCUUUUUUUCUCUUUUCUUCUUUCAUUCUUCUGCCAAUUUUCAGCUCAGAGAAUGGAAAACCCCAUGCAGUAUACAUGGCUUCAGUGAGUCUCAUGUAUUCUGGGCUGAGAUUCUUAAUGUCUCUGGAAUUGCUCCUGGGCUAUGAGUAACUGGAAAGAGAAUCUGGGUGGCCUUCUCAAGGAUGAUCUCUGCUAAAACUAGCUAAUCUCCUUGAUUCACAAGUGAAGAUGCUCUUGAGUUGCCGAGUUGAGCCAGGCUGCUGAAGCUGCAGGUUUCUGCAGCUCCCUUCUUGGCCGAUGCAGGAGGAGCCUGGACACUGGUUCAUUAUUACAUCUUGGAAAGUCGGUCAGAACUUUCCUUCUUCAAAGAUUUGUCCUUACAGUACUAAAUGUAAAAGAAAAAAUGUAAAAAAAGUUUUUCAAAAUGUGGAAUCAUGCAAACAAAAUAAGUUGUGAAAAGAUAAAAACCUAGCCUCCCCGCAUCCCCAACCCCCAAAGGGCAUUGAUUGUUUUUACUGUUAAUUGUUUUGCUAUUUUGUAAUUCAUUGACAAACUAUGGAAAUUUCUGUUGUUUUCUGUCUUAGCAAAAAUAGUUUCCGUGAGACUAAGUAAUUUUUUUUUGUAAAACAUUGUAUUUAGGAUAAUAGAUUUGUAAUGACUUUAUCAUUUUGUGUGUAGCUUGUUUAAAAAAUUAAAUUGACUGAAACAAAG